GAUAAACGCUGGCGGCGUGCCUAAUACAUGCAAGUCGAACGCAGUGGCGAACGGGUGAGUAAUACAUAAGCAAUCUGCCCACAAACCUGGGAUAACCUCUGGAAACGGGGACUAAUACCGGAUUCUAGUUGUUGAGCUUAUGGCGGAAUAGUUAGUUGGUGAGGUAACGGCCAAGCAAGACGGUGAUGCGUAGCCGGCCUGAGAGGGUGAAAGGCCACAUUGGAACUGAGACACGGCCCAGACUCCGACGGGAGGCAGCAGUAGGGAAUUUUCGGCAAUGAGGGGAACCCUGACCGAGCAACGCCGCGUGAGUGAAGACGGCCUUCGGGUUGUAAAGCUCUGUUGUAAGAAAAGCAUUAUCUUACCAGAAAGCCACGGCUAACGACGUGCCAGCAGCCGCGGUAAUAC
rnacentral:rRNA from 1 species